GGAACUUCGGACGGGCGCGGGCCCGGGG
rnacentral:sRNA from 1 species